GGGAAACCCUGCUCAGGACUAGGAAGAGGAAGCAGAGUUCAGGAUGAUCUUCACCAUGGCCUGGUCUUGUCUCCUCUUCACAGUCCUUGUUCAGUGCACAGGGUCCUGGGCCCAGUCUGUGCUGACUCAGCAGCCCUCACUUUCUGGGACUCCAGGACAGAGGAUCACCAUCUCCUGCACUGUAAAUAGCAACAAUAUUGGUGGUAAUUAUGUGAACUGGUACCAACAGCUCCCAGAAAUGGCUCCCAAACUCCUCAUCUAUGGUAAUAGUAAUCGAUACUCAGGGGUCCCUGAUCGCUUCUCUGGCUCCAAGUCUGGCAACUCUGCUUCACUGACCAUCACUGGACUCCAACCUGAGGAUGAGGCUAUCUAUCACUGUCAGUCUUAUGAUGACAGCCUGAAGGCUGGCACAGUGCUUCAGGCUCUUAGGGAAGUAAUACAAGAACCCUUUACCAUCUGUCAGGAUGGCAAACAUGCAGCAGCUUUGCUCAGGCCUGGUCUCUGGCUUUUUCUGCUACCACUACUAUAA